UGGGGAAUCUUGCACAAUGGAGGAAACUCUGAUGCAGCGAUGCCGCGUGAGUGAAGAAGGCCUUUGGGUUGUAAAGCUCUUUUGUAGGGGAAGAUAAUGACUGUACCCUAAGAAUAAGGUCCGGCUAACUUCGUGCCAGCAGCCGCGGUAAUACGAAGGGACCUAGCGUAGUUCGGAAUUACUGGGCGUAAAGCGCGCGUAGGCCGUUGAGUUAGUUAAUUGUGAAAUCCCAAAGCUUAACUUUGGAACUGCAAUUAAAACUGCUCGACUAGAGUUUGAUAGAGGAAAGCGGAAUACAUAGUGUAGAGGUGAAAUUCGUAGAUAUUAUGUAGAACACCAGUUGCGAAGGCGGCUUUCUGGAUCAACACUGACGCUGAGGCGCGAAAGUAUGGGUAGCAAAGAGGAUUAGAUACCC
rnacentral:rRNA from 1 species